CAAUUUGGUUUCCAGGGAUUCUUUGGGCACACUUUCUCCCCUCAACGGGAAUCUGUCCUGUUUCUUUAAAGGAGGAAGAUUAGCUGGGCUCUUCUGAGCAGAAUGACUUCCUGAAAUUGUCGAGUCACUUACAAAAUGUGCUAUUUCCCCCGUUGAAGAUGGGUACCUAAAGAGGGAAUGUGGACAGCACUUCUAUCCUCACAGAG